CUCGGAUCUGCAUUUUCAAGUGAGCAAAGACCGCUAUGGAGGGCAGCCACUUUUCUCAGAGAAGUUCCCCACCCUUUGGUCUGGGGCAAGGAGUACUUACGGAGUGACAAAGGGAAAAGUCUGCUUUGAGGCAAAGGUAACCCAGAAUCUCCCAAUGAAAGAAGGCUGCACAGAGGUCUCUCUCCUUCGAGUUGGGUGGUCUGUUGAUUUUUCCCGUCCACAGCUUGGUGAAGAUGAAUUCUCUUACGGUUUCGAUGGACGAGGACUCAAGGCAGAAAAUGGACAAUUUGAGGAAUUUGGCCAGACUUUUGGGGAGAAUGAUGUUAUUGGCUGCUUUGCUGUAAAAUUUUGAGACUGAAGAAGUAGAACUUUCCUUCUCCAAGAAUGGAGAAGACCUAGGUGUGGCAUUCUGGAUCAGCAAGGAUUCCCUGGCAGACCGGGCCCUUCUACCCCAUGUCCUCUGCAAAAAUUGUGUUGUAGAAUUAAACUUCGGUCAGAAGGAGGAGCCCUUCUUCCCACCACCAGAAGAGUUUGUGUUCAUUCAUGCUGUGCCUGUUGAGGAGCGUGUACGCACUGCAGUCCCUCCCAAGACCAUAGAGGAAUGUGAGGUGAUUCUGAUGGUGGGACUACCCGGAUCUGGAAAGACCCAGUGGGCACUG
rnacentral:lncRNA from 1 species